rnacentral:rRNA from 1 species
AGUUUGAUCAUGGCUCAGAACGAACGCUGGCGGCAGGCCUAACACAUGCAAGUCGAGCGCCCCGCAAGGGGAGCGGCGGACGGGUGAGUAACGCGUGGGAACGUACCCUUUGCUACGGAAUAGCCUCGGGAAACUGGGAGUAAUACCGUAUGUGCCCUUCGGGGGAAAGAUUUAUCGGCAAAGGAUCGGCCCGCGUUGGAUUAGGUAGUUGGUGGGGUAAUGGCCUACCAAGCCGACGAUCCAUAGCUGGUUUGAGAGGAUGAUCAGCCACACUGGGACUGAGACACGGCCCAGACUCCUACGGGAGGCAGCAGUGGGGAAUCUUAGACAAUGGGCGCAAGCCUGAUCUAGCCAUGCCGCGUGAGCGAUGAAGGCCUUAGGGUUGUAAAGCUCUUUCAGUGGGGAAGAUAAUGACUGUACCCACAGAAGAAGCCCCGGCUAACUCCGUG